GUACAAGGUGUUAAUUGCUGAAAAUAAAAAGAAGAAAAGCAAGCCUUCUGCCUGGGAGGAACUUACAGUUCACUGCAGGUAAUAUCUAUGUAAAUAAGUAAAAAUAUAACCCAGAAGUACUAAAAUAAAGCUGCAUGCAGCAUGCUGGGCAAACACAGAGGCAAUGUAAUGAAUUCUGGUCACAGAAUGAAGAGAAGACUUCCUGGAAGAGUUGACAUUUGAGCUGGUCCUGGGUUGUUUCACUGGAGAAGGCAGCAAGGGCAUUUAAGGUUGAGGGGUAGUGUAAUCAGAGCCCAAGGGGACUGAGAGCAUGUGUUAUGUUUGAGGAAAGCAAAUGUUCCAGAGGGGUUGGUGUGUAACAUGAUGGAUCGUGCGGGCGAGUAUAGUGUGCAGGAACAAGGCUGAGUGCAACCAGAGCAAGUGAGCCUAGAACAGGCAUUGGAGCAUGUGCCACCUCCAUGCUCAGUUUCCUGUCACACAUCUCGGUUUGUUCAGUUCUCCUACAGUCUUGUGAACUGUCCAUACCCCAUUCACAAGUAGAAUAGAAGCUCAGGAAACCCAAAAGAUUUCCCCAGAUAAUGUGUACAAGAGGCAGGCCAAAACAACCCAAAGCUUGAAUUCCAUGCUUGCUUUCCACUAUUCCAGGUUGAGAUAAGAUUCUAGAAAACCCUGGGAACUGUCAAGGUUUUUGGACUAUUUUUUAUAUAUUUCUGUUUGUUUUUUGACAAGUGUUGUUAUUUGACUUGUGAAGAUGCCUCUAGUGGCAGAGUGAAGAAUGAGUUGGAAAAAGAUGCUACAGGAAGGAAGACAGAAUAGAUUGCCACAGAAAUGCAAGCAGGACAUGGAGAACCUGAUCUAGGCAGUUGCAGUGGAAGUGGAAAGGAGAGGAGAGAUGAAAGAGACUCAGGAAAUGUAAGCUCUGAGCCUACUGGGGCACACAGUAUUGGGAAGCUGUGCAUUAGUAUUCUCAGCCUUUUAAAAAUCACAAACUCUUAAAGAGUAUUUUUGAAGCAUGUAUCUAGUACAAGAGUUUUAAUAUUUUAGCUUCCUUUCCAGUGAAUUUUCAUGUGCAUGCCAUUUUAGAGACUAGAAUCAAUUCAAAGUAAUGAAGAGAGUUAGCAAGAGGAAAGUGUAGAAGAAAGAAAAGGAGAGUUUGGUUUGGGAUAUACUGAAUUUUAAGAUUUGAAAAUACUUUAUACAAAAGUUGGAAGUAGUAUUAAGGAUUUUAAGAAAUAAAAUUACCUCAGGCUUAUGUUCUAUAUGAAGUUCAACUUUAUUCUCAGUAGACUCCAGUAGUUUUAUUUUUUUUUCCCCCAG
rnacentral:lncRNA from 1 species